rnacentral:rRNA from 1 species
CCUACGGGAGGCAGCAGUAGGGAAUCUUCCGCAAUGGACGAAAGUCUGACGGAGCAACGCCGCGUGAACGAUGAAGGCCUUCGGGUCGUAAAGUUCUGUUGUUAGGGAAGAACAAGUGCUAGUUGAAUAAGCUGGCACCUUGACGGUACCUAACCAGAAAGCCACGGCUAACUACGUGCCAGCAGCCGCGGUAAUACGUAGGUGGCAAGCGUUGUCCGGAAUUAUUGGGCGUAAAGCGCGCGCAGGCGGUUUCUUAAGUCUGAUGUGAAAGCCCCCGGCUCAACCGGGGAGGGUCAUUGGAAACUGGGAAACUUGAGUGCAGAAGAGGAAAGUGGAAUUCCAAGUGUAGCGGUGAAAUGCGUAGAGAUUUGGAGGAACACCAGUGGCGAAGGCGACUUUCUGGUCUGUAACUGACGCUGAGGCGCGAAAGCGUGGGGAGCAAACAGGAUUAGAUACCCUGGUAGUCCACGCUGUAAACGAUGAGUGCUAAGUGUUAGAGGGUUUCCGCCCUUUAGUGCUGAAGUUAACGCAUUAAGCACUCCGCCUGGGGAGUACGGUCGCAAGACUGAAACUUAAAUGAAUUGACG